CACGCCAGUGGCAUCGCCGGGUAGCUAUAUGCGGAAGCGAUAACCGCUGAAAGCAUCUAAGCGGGAAGCGUGCCCCAAGAUGAGACUUCCCGGGGACUUGAUCCCCCUGAAGGGUCGUCCUAGACCAGGACGUUGAUAGGCGGGAUGUGCAAGGGCCGUGAGGCCUUCAGCUAACCCGUACUAAUUGCCCGUGCGGCUUGACCCUAUAACC
rnacentral:rRNA from 1 species